rnacentral:RNase_P_RNA from 1 species
UGAGUCGGCCAGGCGGCCGCGUCGGACCUCCGGGUCCGCCGAGGAACGUCCGGGCUCCUCAGGGCACGGUGGUGGCUAACAGCCACCCGGGGCGACCCGCGGGACAGUGCCACAGAGAGCAGACCGCCCGCCGUCCUGACGGCGGGUAAGGGUGAAAGGGUGGUGUAAGAGACCACCAGCACGCCAGGUGACUGGCGUGGCUAGGCAAACCCCACCGGGAGCAAGACCAGACAGUGCGCGCUCGAGGGCUGCCCGCCCGAGCGCACGGGUAGGUCGCUGGAGACGGUCGGCAACGGCCGUCCUAGAUGGAUGGUCGCCACCUCCGCAGUGCCGGUGACGGCGCGGAGGCACAGAACCCGGCGUACCGGCCGGCUCAUCCA